rnacentral:rRNA from 1 species
UUGCCACAGGAUAACUGUGGUAAUUCUAGAGCUAAUACUCAUUAGAAUACCGUGACUCACGAAGCGGUGGAUUUAUUAGAUCAAAACUAAACUGUCGCAAGACAGUUAUUUGAUGACUCUGGAUAACUUUAACUGAUCGUACAACAAAUCGAGUUGACGACGAAUCUCUUGAAAUGGCUGACCUAUCAACUGUCGAUGGUAAGAUAGACGCUUACCAUGGUUGUAACGGGUAACGGGGAAUCAGUGUUCGAUUCCGGAGAGGGAGCCUGAGAAACGGCUACCACAUCCACGGAAGGCAGCAGGCGCGAAAAUUACCCAAUACCGGUACGGUGAGGUAGUGACAAUAAAUAACAAUAUGGACCAUUUAUGGUUUCAUAAUUGCAAUGAGAAUNUCUUAAAUACUUUAUCAAGUAUCAAUUGGAGGGCAAGUCUGGUGCCAGCAGCCGCGGUAAUUCCAGCUCCAAAAGCGUAUAUUAAAGUUGUUGCAGUUAAAAAGCUCGUAGUUGGAAUUGAGGAAUCUAUGAUAGUGGAAAAUCCAUGAUUGGAAGCUAUCUAGUCCUUCGCGUCGUGUAUAUCUUUGAUGCUCUUUAAUGUGUGUUGAAGAUGACCGACAAGUUUACUUUGAAAAAAUUAGAGUGCUUAAAGCAGGCUUACGCUUGUAUAUUGUUGCAUGGAAUAAUGAAAUAAGACUUUUGUUUUAUUUUGUUGGUUUUCGAAACAGAAGUAAUGAUUAAAAGAGACUGCCGGGGGCAUAU